rnacentral:rRNA from 1 species
GUGAGGAAUAUUGCGCAAUGGAGGCAACUCUGACGCAGCCAUGCCGCGUGCAGGAAGAAGGCGCUACGCGUUGUAAACUGCUUUUAACCGGGAAGAAACCCCAGGACGUGUCCUGGGUUGACGGUACCGGAGGAAUAAGCACCGGCUAACUUCGUGCCAGCAGCCGCGGUAAUACGAAGGGUGCAAGCGUUAUCCGGAUUCAUUGGGUUUAAAGGGUGCGUAGGCGGAGCGUUAAGUCAGUGGUGAAAUCAUGCAGCUUAACUGUAGACUUGCCAUUGAGACUGGCGCUCUUGAGUGCGCUUGAAGUGGGCGGAAUGUGCCGUGUAGCGGUGAAAUGCUUAGAUAUGGCACAGAACACCGAUUGCGAAGGCAGCUUACUAUGGUAUGAUUGACGCUGAGGCACGAAAGCGUGGGGAUCGAACAGGAUUAGAUACCCUGGUAGUCC